GACGAACGCUGGCGGCGUGCUUAACACAUGCAAGUCGAGCGAGGCCCCUCCUUCGGGAGGGUGUCCUAGCGGCGAACGGGUGAGUAACACGUGGGCAACCUGCCCUCAGCUCUGGGAUAACUCCGGGAAACCGGGGCUAAUACCGGAUACGACCUCCACGGGCAUCUGCGGAGGUGGAAAGUUUUUCGGCUGAGGAUGGGCCCGCGGCCUAUCAGCUAGUUGGUGGGGUAGUGGCCCACCAAGGCGACGACGGGUAGCCGGCCUGAGAGGGCGACCGGCCACACUGGGACUGAGACACGGCACAGACUCCUACGGGAGGGAGCAGUGGGGAAUAUUGCGCAAUGGGAGAAAGCGUGACGCAGCGACGCCGCGUGAGGGACGAAGGCCUUCGGGUUGUAAACCUCUUUCAGCAGGGACGAAGCGAAAGUGACGGUACCUGCAGAAGAAGAACCGGCAAACUACGU
rnacentral:rRNA from 1 species